rnacentral:rRNA from 1 species
CACGUAGGGCGCAAGCGUUGUCCGGAAUUAUUGGGCGUAAAGCGUGCGUAGGCGGUUUGUUAAGUCUGCUGUGAAAUCCCCGGGCUCAACCUGGGAAUGGCAGUGGAUACUGGCAAGCUAGAGUGUGUCAGAGGAUGGUGGAAUUCCCGGUGUAGCGGUGAAAUGCGUAGAGAUCGGGAGGAACAUCAGUGGCGAAGGCGGCCAUCUGGGACAACACUGACGCUGAGGCACGAAAGCGUGGGGAGCAAACAGG